rnacentral:lncRNA from 1 species
GAUGGGACCUCUCAGAGGGGGGGUCUCAUCCUCUAAACAAAUUAUUUAAGCCUCUGCCGGCAACCCCAAGUGACAGACCCCCUAGAAUACUGAACGAGAGAGUGAGAGAGCCGAAGCCUUGGAGCCGAAGGCAAAGGAGCCCUGAAGCUCCAAGAGGAAGGAGGGACUACCAGGGGGAGGUACUGCCCGACUGCAACCGGCCAAGGUAAGGAGCAUUAGGGUAAGGGUUUAACGGGGGUAAAGAAAUUCCACUGUGGGGUGCUCUUCCCCUCUGUGUCAACAGUGAAACAUAGGGGAGGAAACCGACACAAGGGGAGGGAAAAAAGGCCUACAGUCCACUGGUCAGGCCGGACUCAAAGGUCGUGCGCCCGACGACCACCCGGGCCGAACCCAACCGGGCUCGGCCUGCGGAUGAACCGGACACCGCGGCCUCGGCCGCCGGUACCCUGGAGUUCGGGGGGCAACCCGGGCCGCCAGAUCUGGCCGGGACGACAACAGAGGCGGCCACAGGGCCGCCAGCCCCGGCCGGACCACCACCUCUUCUCCGGCAAGGGGUGGUGGUUCCGGAGGGAAGGACCGAAAAGGAAAAUGAACUCACCGGAUCUUGAGCUUCAUCCCCUCCGGCCAUACCUGGCCGUGGACGGAGCGGGUGGAGGCCCUCGGUUAAAGCCGGAUUCCGACCCAUCUCCGAACCCUUCCCCUCUCCGGCAUCACUUCGGAGGGAGGAAGGACUUCCCUUCCGCCGGUGCACCGGGGGGAAACCCCCACGUCGAUCGGUGGAUCGGGGGGAGCCUCGCCUCCCCGGCCGCCUGCAAGAGAAGAAAAGGGAAAAGAGAGAGGGGAAAGAGAGGGAGUGACCGAGAGGGGGAAGGCCACAGAUCUGGCCGGAGGAGAAGAAGGGGAGCCGGAGGAGAGGGCCGGAAGCAUGGGCUUCGGUGGGAGGUUGAAGGAGAGAACGAGAGAGAGAGGAGGAAACGGAGGAGAGAGGGGAGGAAGGUAGGUGAAGAGGCGGAAGCCUCUAGAAGGGGGAGAAAGAAAACAUGGUAACGGGUUUGCGGGUCGGAUCUGAACCCGCAACCCGUUAAGCUUAAAUAAAUAUAUAUAUAUAUAUAUGUAUAUAUGUGUGUAUAUAUAUAUAAUUAGAAUGGGUUAGGUGAACCCAAUAAAACCAGACCCAGUCUAUUUGGACCAACUACAAAAAGUCUGUUGGCCACUCUAAGGAUACAACCGACACUGAUCGACAGAAUAAAGAUCGCUCAGCAGUCUGACGCACGCACAGGUCAACUCAAGGAUGAAGUGGAAAAAGGGUUACGACCCGAGCUCCAGAUUCACUCAGAUGGUACCCUGAGGUUCGGUCAUCGAUUGUAUGUCCCAGCUGAUGUGGAAUUAAAGAAAGAAAUUCUAGGAGAAGCCCACCAAUCCCGCUUCUCCGUUCACCCCGGCAGUACUAAGAUGUACAGGGACCUCCGAGAGCAUUACUGGUGGAAGGGUAUGAAAAGAGAAAUAGCUGAGUAUGUUGCCCGAUGCAUGACCUGUCAGCUGAUAAAAGCAGAACACCAGAGGCCAGCAGGGUUACUAAAGCCAUUAGAGAUUCCAGAAUGGAAAUGGGAGCAUAUCACUAUGGACUUUGUUACAGGGCUUCCAAGGAUAGUAAAAAGGAAUGAUGCAGUGUGGGUGAUUGUCGACCGCCUCACAAAGUCAGCUCACUUCCUACCCUUUAGGGUUGGAACCUCAUUGGACAGGCUAGCCCAAGUGUACAUUAAUGAAAUUGUGCGCCUACAUGGAGUGCCAGUGAGCAUCGUCUCUGAUCGCGACCCUCGAUUUGUAUCCAGAUUCUGGGAAAGCUUUCAGAAGGCCAUGGGUACCGAAUUGAGGCUCAGUACCGCAUACCACCUCCAGACCGACGGUCAGUCAGAACGAACAAUAUAGACCCUGGAAGACAUGUUGAGAGCUUGUACCAUGGACCUAGGUGGAGGCUGGGACGACCACAUACCUCUGGUAGAGUUUGCCUACAACAACAGUUACCAUUCCAGCAUCCAAAUGGCGCCAUAUGAAGCUCUAUAUGGAAGAAAAUGCCGAUCUCCUUUACAUUGGGAUGAGGUCGGAGAGCGAAAACUACUCGGUCCUGAAUUGGUCCAGAGUGCUAGAGAUAAGGUACUGCUAAUAACGCGGAGACUACAAGCCGCUCAGGACAGACAGAAACGAUGGGCUGACAAAGGCAGGAGGAAAUUGGAAUUUUUGGAGGGGAACUUUGUCUUCCUAAAAAUUUCUCCGUCAAGGGGUGUUACCCGAUUUGGGCGGCACGGUAAACUGAGUCCCCGCUACAUCGGCCCAUUCGAGGUUUUCGCUAAAGUGGGCAAGGUCGCCUACAAGCUGGCCCUACCUCCAGAGUUAUCAGGAGUACACGACGUCUUUCACGUCUCCCUCCUACGCAGGUACAUCCCAGAUCCCAGCCAUGUAUUAUAGUAUGAACCCUUGCAGAUAAAUGAAGACCUGACCUAUGAGGAAGCUCCUCUGCGCAUCGUCGAUAAGAAGGAGCAAAUUCUUCGGAGGCGUACCAUCCCUUAUGUCAAAAUUCAGUGGGCCAACCACACUAAACGGGAAGCCACCUGGGAACUUGAAGAGGAGAUGCGCCAAAGUUACCCCCAGCUCUUCAAAGAUAGAGGUAUGUAUAAUUUCGCGGACGAAAUUUAUUUUAAGGGGGGUAGGAUGUAAUGUCCGGGCCCACAACCUACUAGGCCCAAUAGGAAAUAGGCCCAGUUAAGGGUUUGGGCCCAAAUUUCACUGUGGGCAGUAUUAUUAUAAUGGCUAUCAGGAAGAGGUUGCCACCUCCUUCCUGCUCUGAAACGAAAGGAUAAGACCGACAGGGAAGGGUUACCUCACGCCCUAGACGGUAAGCCAGGCACCAUGGCAGAGCAGGGAGAGGUGGCUAGGGUCACCUCACGCCCCAGACGGUAAGCCAGGCACCAUGGCAGAGCAGGGAGAGGUGGCUAGGGUCACCUCACGCCCCAAGUGGUGAGCCAGGCACCAUGGCAGAGCAGGGGGCAGCUGUGAGUCCCGGAGCCAGAGGAUAAGGGAGGAUAAGGGGGAUGGGACUUCACAGAAGGAAAUCCCCAGCCAUGCAAACCCUGGGACGGUGACCUCACCCCUGCUGGCAGCCGAUUCCGGCGCGCCUGAGACAGGGGGGCGGCUGCCAGUCCCAGAGCAGGGAGGAAAGGAGAGGAUGGGACCUCUAAGAGGGGGGUCUCACCCUCUAAACAAAUUAUUUAAGCCUCUGCCGGCAACCCCAAGUCACAGACUCCCUAGAAUACUGAACGAGAGAGAGAGCCGAAGCCUUGGAGCCGAAGGCAAAGGAGCCCUGAAGCUCCAAGGGGAAGGAGGGACUACCAGGGGGAGGUACUGCCCGACUGCAACCGGCCAAGGUAAGGAGCAUUAGGGUAAGGAUUUAACCGGGGUAAAGAAAUUUCACUGUGGGGUGCUCUUCCCCUCUGUGUCAACAGUGAAACAGAGGGGAGGAAACCGACACAG